GGCCUUCUACUUCAGCUAACUGAGAAGAUGAUGGAGCACCCAUGUCAGCUAUAGCAGGAGUCGUACCUUGCAGGCGAGCCAUAUCUUGCAUUCUCUGAACAGACCGUUUAUGCCUCUUUCCAUUUUUGUGCUGCUCAAGGAUUUCCUUGCUAUUACACCCCACGUGGCAUAUAUCACACCAAGCAGCUGGAACAACAGUACCCCGUGUUGAACUGCUGGUUGUAGCUUGCACCAUGUGUGCUGGUGCACAGACCGUUUCGGGCUGAGCCUGUAAUGCAAAAGAUCCACCGGAUGCUUGAAUGGCUAACUGCCUAUCACUGCUCUUGUUUCUACGACCUCGGCCACUGCCUCGACCUCGCCCACGGCCUCUACCACGUGGUGAUGUAAUUCCUGCAUUCCAUAUAAGAGGAUGAUACAUAGGGCUUCCACCUCUGCCUCCACCUUGCGAAGGCCCACGACCUCUGCUUACACCGUUGAGUGUACCUAUACCACCCCCAACCUGCAAGAAAAGGUAGAACAACGCCAUGGUUAGGUAUUUGGCAACAUGACUCGUGUGAAUUUGCACUAAACCACAGCGUGUUGCAGCAAUUGUGUAUUGUUACCAAUACUCUAGGAGCAUAUGGUUAACAGUUUGAUGUAGCUUACUUACAAACACGGAUGUACAUUACAUCAGUAUAAUACUCUUCUUUUGCAUAUAUCUUAUUUCCAGAAAUAUAUUCUUAAACUUAGAAACUAAAAAACAGAAAUCUCAAGCAAAGUUCAAAGCAGGUGUCAGGCAGAUAAAACACCACAGUUUUUUUUUACCAGUGUUUCAUUUAUCCAUGAAUUAUUGGUGUGAUCAUGGAGUAUGUGACAUUAUUAGUACAAUAACAGCAGAAUCCAUGGAACUGUGUUAGCAAAUGUUCAUUUGAAGGUACUAUCCAACAGUCGGUCUUUCAACAGCAACCUGAACAAACUUGCAUGCAACACCUCAUUGGCCCAACCCUGGAAUGAGGUUCCUGUUAGCCAACAGUGCCUCACAGGAAUAGGUAAGGGAAAAAAACAGUUACCUCACAGGAAUAGCUUGAAAGGAAUGAGAUGACAAUGGAUCAACUCAUUCCAUUCCCCAAACAAAACAAAACAAAAACAUGGAGUGAGAAUAUGAUGGAUCACCCUAUUCCUUAAAACAAACACCAUAUAAUGUAUAAGCAAACUGAUUUAUACAAUACAAUCAUUUAUCCAUAAAGUGCAUACAAAGAAACUUACUUUCAUGUAAUACAGGAAAGAGUCCAUCAAAACUCCAGCUUUAAUAAAGAACAUAAUAUUUUCAAAUACAUAUCUUGCUUCAUAAACAAAACAGACUGUAUUUGACCAUCACGGCAAAAGCCCACAUUUGCAUUAUGAAAUGGUUCACCAGAAAACAGAACUGUCUUACGACCUUCAAAAAGACUGUAUAUGCAGCAAAUAUACCGAGUUCAUGAGAGCUCUAAUUCUGGGAAACUAUACAAAUCAGGUAUGUCGAAUAAACGUUUGGAUAUAGGUAAGAGCGUAAAUAGACGUCCUUUAAUGAAUCAAGCAGUAUUUACCAUCAUCGAUCUCCAGAGCGGGGAAUAGACUUCCUUUAGGGCCCGUUCGUUUCGGCAGGUUUAUCCCAUUCCGGGUCUGAUUCCAGGCGGAAGGAAAUGUCCCGGUUUAGAAUUCGACCCUUUAUGCGACAGCUGUUCGUUUGGGCCCAGAUCGAAAGCGAGAGUGAUCCGGUUUGAAGUUUUCUCUUCCACAACGGCCCGACAUGAAUCCUGGUCUACCGACCUCCGGAUCCGAUAUCGACGAGACAGCGCAGCACUGGCGCGGAGGAGGCGAAGAGGCGACGACGCCAGUGACGGCGUGGCGGCGCAGCGCAGCGUUGACGGCCACCCUCCCCGUCGCUUUCUCACCGGUAAGCGUCACCCUCUCUUCCCCAACGCACCUGCCCUUGCGAUGCUUUCCUUCUCCCUCCACAUCCGCCCUCGACGAAGUCGUGUCCAGUUGUGCCUGCCCUUGGCGGCGCUUCCCUCUCCCUCCCCGCGACAAACCGCCAAGGGCUUGACCGCCUUGCAGAUGCCGCACGUUGUGCGACCGAGGCAUUUUUUUAUAUUCACUUUACAAGAAUCUGAGAGAGAAACACAAUCAGCGGAGUCGUUUUGGAUGCUCAGAUCUACUGCAGCCACACUGCUUAGAUGUGCUGCUCUCCCUACCUAUUCUUGUCCUAGCCGGUGAUGAGAGAUAAGAUAGAUCAUCCGCAUUCCUCUUCUUCAUUCAUAAUCGUUAUCGUCUCAGUAAUCCCUCCUAUCUUUCCUCUUGCUAGUGAUGCAUCCAUGGGGUUCAGACAUAGCUAGCGGUUAUUCUUCUUAGAUGCAAGUAUAUGUAUAUGGAUCACCUAAUUAGCUUCGUCUACACUCUACACCUUGGAGAAGUCGGACCAUCUUGGAGAAGCAGUAGAAGCUAGCUGCAAGUAGGCACAAGCAAGCAGGACUAUCUCUGCUUCUACUGCUAUAACUGAGCCCAAUGGAUGCAGCCAUAUUCUCCAAUGUCUGACUUCUCCAAGGUCAGAUAUAGCAGGCACAAGCAAAUCGGACCAUUUUUGCUUCUACUGCAAGCAGGCACAAGCAAGUCGGUCCAUCUCUGCAAGUGGGCACAUUAUAUUGUAUAUAUUGUACUAGCAAAUUAAAGUUGAUCAUAUGACGAACAGGCCUGCAACUUAUUUGUUUGACUAAUUAUUUAUGUUUUGUUACAUGUAGAUCCCUACAACACUGAUUAGAUAUUUUCCUUUCGUGUUUGUGCUAUACUGAUUUGAUGUUAAAUGUGUAUAUAGGGAAAAGGAAUGUCAAUGUCGUCAGUUUUGUUUUGAUUUUCAAAAAAUGUCCAGAUUAGCUUUCCAAAUCUGCGUUGUUUAAAUCAUUCUCUAACUACAAACCUAGAUUCAUUUGUCCUGAGUAGAUUUAUUUAUCCUGAUUCAUUUGUGUGUCUAGAUUCAUGUGUUUUCUUCAAGAAUUUAGUGUAUACUUUAUGAUCAUGUAUGACAGCUACUUAUUUGAGUUGUUACAUGUAGAUCCCUACAACACCAAUUAUAGUUGGGGAAGGUGAACCUCCUCCCUCUUGGGAUCCGGUACCAACUCCAAAAGCUAUGGUUGGAAAAGGCUCCCCAAGGUUCAACAUGAGCAGUUCCCCAAAGCUGCGUAGGUAUAUUCCUACAACAAGUGCUACUAAAAAGAAGCCUUCUCCUAAAUGUUGUGGGGCAAAAAAGAGUGGAGGUUCUCCAAGAGUAGUGAAACAAAGAGCAGAUUGGAAUCCAGGACUUGAGAGAUCUCUUGUUGAUAUUCUCCAUGAAUUUAAAGAUAGUGGGUAUAGAGGUGACAAUGGUUGGAACUCUGAAGGGUGGAAUAGGAUGGUUAAGGAGUUUCAUGUGAGGAACAAGUAUGUCUCCUUUACAAAGGCUCAGAUUCAGGAUAAAGAAGGUCAGUUGAAGAGAGACUACAAGAUGCUCAAAGCAACAGAGCGGGUCAACCUGGAAUGAGAAAAGGAAUAUGGUUGAAGGACCACCAACUUUGUGGGAGAAUCUCAUGGUGACAUUUCCUAAAAUCAAGAAGUUUAACAACAAGGCAACCUUCCCGCUCUUUGAUGCUUUGGGAGAGCUUUAUGAUGGACACUUGGCUGAAGGGACUUGGAGUUGCACUUCUCUCGAGGCACUGCAAGAGGAAGAACCGAAUGAGCAACUCCAGGAUGCAGAAAAUGGGCCACAAGGCUUUGAUCUGAAUGUUGUUCAUGAUGUAGAUGAUGAAGUUGAUGAUGCACUCACUGAAAGGAAUGAAGAUGUGCUUCAAGGAAGGGCUAAUAUUUUGUCACGAGAUGAAGAAAGUGGACAACGAAGACCUGUUGCAUCAAGAAACAAACAAGAAAAGGAACCAAAGAAGCCUAGAAAGAGUGACAACAUAGAAAAUAUGAUGAACAAAUACCUAUAAAUGAGGAGCAAGCAAGUAGAAUAUGAAUCUGCAAGAGAAAAGGAGGCAAGAGAAAUGGAGGUAACUCAAAGUGAUGAUUUCUCCAUCAAAAGGUGCAUAUCAGUUAUGAAUACAAUAGAAGAAGUGACCAAAUUGGAGAAGGCAAAAGCAUAUUCAAUCUUCGCCAAGAGCAAAGAGAAUAGAGAAACUUUCAUAUGUGCUUGUGAAGCAGAUCAAGAAUCAGCUUUGAUUUGGCUAAGAAAUGAGAUGUCUUAGCAGCUUCGAUAUGGACAUUAUUGGGAAGCAAAGUAUUGGAAAAAACUGCAUUUAGUUGAUGAUCCACUAGAAGUUUAGGCUAUGUCCCACUCGAGUCUUUAUACUGUGGUGCUGUCUCUUGUUAUGCUAUAUUCCCUGCAUGAUUUUUGUUUUUGGCA